rnacentral:rRNA from 1 species
UACGAACUGUGCAAACGUUAUUCGGAAUCACUGGGCUUAAAGGGUGCGUAGGCGGCUUAUCAAGUAGGGUGUGAAAGCCCCCGGCUUAACCGGGGAAUAGCGCCCUAAACUGACGAGCUGGAGUGGGACAGGGGUGUGUGGAACUUCCGGUGGAGCGGUGAAAUGUGUUGAUAUCGGAAGGAACGCCGGUGGCGAAAGCGACACACUGGGUCUCAACUGACGCUGAGGCACGAAAGCCAGGGGAGCGAACGGG